rnacentral:rRNA from 1 species
CCUACGGGGGGCAGCAGUGGGGAAUAUUGGACAAUGGGGGGAACCCUGAUCCAGCCAUGCCGCGUGUGUGAAGAAGGCCCUCGGGUUGUAAAGCACUUUCAGUGAGGAAGAACGCCUGGUGGUUAAUACCCAUCAGGAAAGACAUCACUCACAGAAGAAGCACCGGCUAACUCCGUGCCAGCAGCCGCGGUAAUACGGAGGGUGCGAGCGUUAAUCGGAAUUACUGGGCGUAAAGCGCGCGUAGGUGGCUUGAUAAGCCGGUUGUGAAAGCCCCGGGCUCAACCUGGGAACGGCAUCCGGAACUGUCAAGCUAGAGGGCAGGAGAGGAAGGUAGAAUUCCCGGUGUAGCGGUGAAAUGCGUAGAGAUCGGGAGGAAUACCAGUGGCGAAGGCGGCCUUCUGGACUGACACUGACACUGAGGUGCGAAAGCGUGGGUAGCAAACAGGAUUAGAUACCCCUGUAGUC